rnacentral:rRNA from 1 species
AUGGCGGAGGAACCGUCCGCCAAGCGUCAUCAUGCCAAGACGUCGGACAAGAGGAGCAACCUCGUCGACAUUAACGUCCCCAGCGAGAAGCGCGAGUAUACCAGAACGCUCAAAGGGGUUGAGCUCCACGGCAAGGAGACGCUGGAGAUCGUCUGCACCAGCGAACCAGACAAGGCUGACGAGGUGAUCUCCAGGCUCUGGAGGAAGCUUGGCCACAGGUUUCGUAGGAUCGUCGGCGUUGGUGUGCACUACACCAAUGAAGAUGAACCUCCCCAGAUGGCAGCAGUCCUGCAGUUGUGCGUCGACGAAACCACCAUUGCCGCUUCCAUUUCCAUUGCACACAAACCUCCGGCGUCUCUCUCCAAAGCCCGCAGUCGCCGGAGGAAGGCCAUGGCGGAGGAACCGUCCGCCAAGCGUCAUCAUGCCGAGACGUCGGACAAGAGGAGCAACCUCGUCGACAUUAACGUCCCCAGCGAGAAGAGCGAGUAUACCAGAACGCUCAAAGGGGUUGAGCUCCACGGCAAGGAGACGCUGGAGAUCGUCUGCACCAGCGAACCAGACAAGGCUGAUGAGGUGAUCUCCAGGCUCUGGAGGAAGCUUGGCCACAGGUUUCGUAGGAUCAUCGGCGUUGGUGUGCACUACACCAAUGAAGAUGAACCUCCCCAGAUGGCAGCAGUCCUGCAGUUGUGCGUCGACGAACUCUGCUUGGUGUACCACAUCGCAGCGGCCACAAAAUGGCCCAAGCUCCUGACCGCCAUGCUGCAGCAUGACAAGUUGUUCACAUUUGCCGGUUUCAGCAUUGAAAGCGACAAAGAGAAGCUGAAGUUGUCCGAUAUGGAGAUCAUCCCCAACAAGUUCAUCGACAUUCAGCGCAACUGGAGAUUUCCAUACACCGGAAAAGAGUACGACUCCUUGACUGGUGUUGCAGCUAGCGUCAUCCACCCAUUCUACAAAGGCAUGAAGAACAAGAUCAACACGCAGGAAGACUACACACUGUGGGGGACCAGCGAGCUGCCAGACAACCUCAUCGAGUAUGCAGGAGUAGAUGCGUACGCCGCGUACAAGUCAUGGUUCAUGAUUGACUACAUCACAGAUGGUUCGGAAUAUGCGAAACAGUGGGAGGUUGAAAACUCUUACGACCACCCCUAUUGCCCCUUUUAG